UCUUAUGAUGAAACCUCUGUCCAGUUCUGCUACUGAAUGGCAAGCGAUGAAACCUUUGGUACUGAAGAAGA
rfam:Xenopus laevis strain J chromosome 4S, whole genome shotgun sequence.